GAUGAACGCUGGCGGCGUGCUUAACACAUGCAAGUCGAACGGAAAGGCUCCUGCUUGCCGGGGUCCUCGAGUGGCGAACGGGUGAGUAACACGUGGGUGAUCUGCCCUGCACUUCGGGAUAAGCCUGGGAAACUGGGUCUAAUACCGGAUAGGACGAUGGUUUGGAUGCCAUUGUGGAAAGUUUUUCGGUGUGGGAUGAGCUCGCGGCCUAUCAGCUUGUUGGUGGGGUAAUGGCCUACCAAGGCGUCGACGGGUAGCCGGCCUGAGAGGGUGUACGGCCACAUUGGGACUGAGAUACGGCCCAGACUCCUACGGGAGGCAGCAGUGGGGAAUAUUGCACAAUGGGCGCAAGCCUGAUGCAGCGACGCCGCGUGGGGAAUGACGGCCUUCGGGUUGUAAACUCCUUUCGCUAGGGACGAAGCGCAAGUGACGGUACCUGGAGAAGAAGCACCGGCUAACUACGUG
rnacentral:rRNA from 1 species